rnacentral:rRNA from 1 species
AGUCGAGCGGAUGAGUGGAGCUUGCUCCAUGAUUCAGCGGCGGACGGGUGAGUAAUGCCUAGGAAUCUGCCUGGUAGUGGGGGAUAACGUUUCGAAAGGAACGCUAAUACCGCAUACGUCCUACGGGAGAAAGUGGGGGAUCUUCGGACCUCACGCUAUCAGAUGAGCCUAGGUCGGAUUAGCUAGUUGGUGGGGUAAUGGCCCACCAAGGCGACGAUCCGUAACUGGUCUGAGAGGAUGAUCAGUCACACUGGAACUGAGACACGGUCCAGACUCCUACGGGAGGCAGCAGUGGGGAAUAUUGGACAAUGGGCGAAAGCCUGAUCCAGCCAUGCCGCGUGUGUGAAGAAGGUCUUCGGAUUGUAAAGCACUUUAAGUUGGGAGGAAGGGCAGUAAGUUAAUACCUUGCUGUUUUGACGUUACCAACAGAAUAAGCACCGGCUAACUUCGUGCCAGCAGCCGCGGUAAUACGAAGGGUGCAAGCGUUAAUCGGAAUUACUGGGCGUAAAGCGCGCGUAGGUGGUUCAGCAAGUUGGAUGUGAAAGCCCCGGGCUCAACCUGGGAAUUGCAUCCAAAACUACUGAGCUAGAGUACGGUAGAGGGUGGUGGAAUUUCCUGUGUAGCGGUGAAAUGCGUAGAUAUAGGAAGGAACACCAGUGGCGAAGGCGACCACCUGGACUGAUACUGACACUGAGGUGCGAAAGCGUGGGGAGCAAACAGGAUUAGAUACCCUGGUAGUCCACGCCGUAAACGAUGUCGACUAGCCGUUGGGAUCCUUGAGAUCUUAGUGGCGCAGCUAACGCGAUAAGUCGACCGCCUGGGGAGUACGGCCGCA